rnacentral:lncRNA from 1 species
UGACGAUGGCUCCGGUAUUCACGACCGAUAAUUCUACUUCAGCUGAUGAUAAUCAGGUAAUUUUCCAGUUUUUCAAAACUCAUCUCCGUGUAGUAUUAAGGACAAUGAUGAGCUUGAAAGAAUUGUCGAUAAGUUAAAACAUUUCAGGAGAAUAUGUUGAUCUGACCUUACCACUAGUUUAUUCACAGGCCUCUUGUGGGGAUAAUUAGAAAGUAGUUAUUUCACAUGAACUUUUGAUACCCCGGAAAGGAGGGG